GUAGCUAGUGUUUAUCUAAAAAUAGAUAACUAUCAUAUAACAAAUUAACAACUUUGCAUUUACCCUUUAGUUUGAAUUUGACCAUCCUUUCACUCCAAGAUUUUCUUAUAUCCUUAUCACUCCUUUGAUCCUCAUCAUUUCUGUUACCAACUUGUGUGUCGUUUCUAACAUGUACAACAUCCCUUCUCUCUUCAGUUUCACGGUCAUUCCAAGACUGAAAGAGGACUCUGAAGAAAUUAAGCACAGGGGAGUAGUCUAUUAUGUUAUGCCACUUCAAAGUUUGUUGGUUUGGCAUGGCCUUCAACAAAUUUGGAUUUUGACUUGGUACUGUGAGGAUGAGGACGAAGAAGAUGACUUAGGAGAUGAAGAUUAAUUAGACUUCUUCCGCUUCUGCUUCUUUCGAAUACCGGCAACCUCAGUCCGUGGUAAGUCUCUAUUAAUCUCAGAUCCCGAUUUCUGCCUUAGAGAUUCUCCAAAAUCUUGUAGGGACAAUGAAAUAAAGUCAAGACUAAGAUUUCCAUUUCUACAUGUUUCAAUAGUAACGUAUCAAUACCUUGUAUUCUCAAUAUUUCUUUCUUUUGUGGGCUAUGCAUUGUGUUGAUAGUUUAUAAUAUGAAAUAAUAACUGAAAAAAUAAAAAAAUAUGGAAAAAAAGGAAAAGUUAAUUAAGAACCAGACCUUCAGAUGACCACAGAGAAAGAGCAGAACCAGAAUUGCCAAUCGACAUUGCUGAAAAAUUAGGCCGUCGACAUUGCUGAAAAAUUAGGCCGUCUUGAAUUCAUUCAUCUGCAUUAUGAAACAAAUAAAUUAUUUUUGAAGAAUACAAAAAAUCAUGAUCUAGAUGAAUAAAUUUGUCACGUACGUACCCAACCAGGUCCAGUUCUGGAGGGGCCAUCCCACCCGAUGUGAGCCACAUGCUUAACAUCUGUUGGCAAUCCAAUCUCUAUUUCAGGCUCUUUCUCAACUUCAACAUAACCAGUUUUCACAUUAGCCCCAAAACUUCCAAAAACCCAUUAAAAUAUACGGCGGUAUGAUCUUAGAAAUAGUGAUUUAGAGGCUUUACCAAAGAUUUGAGACAGCCUAUAUAAGAAUCCCUGGAAAAUCUUCCCAUUGUGGAGACUGUACGUGUCCAAUUCAACUGCCCUCUUCUAAAAUACAAGGCAAAAUACAGAAGGAAGUACCACCCAAAUGUUGAAAAAAGGUUCCUUUGCCUAUGUCAAAAGCAAACAUGUAGAAUGAGAAUUGUUAAUUCUUUAACCUUUUCCAGGCUUUUAAGUUUUAAAUGAGGUAGUUUAACAUCACAACGGGUAAAUGUCUUGAUUUCAAGAAAGUUGUGCUCGUAUGAAUCUUUAAUCAAACAAAUGAAUCCAACCUACUUGUGUGAGAGCCUAUCCAAAAUAAUGAAGAUAUACCUUUACGAAGAAGGAUAGGGAUUAUGCAGGGAGAAUGGAGAGUCAAUAGAGAAGCAUCUUCUCCAGCCGUUCCCUGUAUAUUCAUCCCCAUUUAUCUUAAAAUAUUGUUGGAAUAUACAUAUUACAGCAAGCAUGCAUUCAUGCAAACCAAACGAGAUGAAAGUUUUUUGGAUAAAAAAAGAAGCAAGAAACGAAAUUCAAAACAUGAAAAAAAGCAAGAAAAGGAUAUGUAUAAUUUUACAACUUCGUUGUUUUGUAGGUCUUUCAUCGAUCAAUGUCACGAAAUAACAUUGACAAGAUUCCAUGAAUAGAGGUGUUCGGGUUGUU
rnacentral:lncRNA from 1 species